rnacentral:rRNA from 1 species
UGCGCAGGCGGCCUGAUAAGUAGGAUGUGAAAUCUCCCGGCCCAACCGGGGAACUGCGUUCUAAACUGUCAGGCUUGAGUGAGAUAGGGGUGUGCGGAACUUCUAGUGGAGCGGUGAAAUGUGUUGAUAUUAGAAGGAACACCAGUAGCGAAGGCGGCACACUGGGUCUCAACUGACGCUCAUGCACGAAAGCCAGGGUAGCGAACG